rnacentral:rRNA from 1 species
UACGUAGGGUGCAAGCGUUGUCCGGAAUUAUUGGGCGUAAAGAGCUCGUAGGCGGUUUGUCGCGUCUGCUGUGAAAACCCGAGGCUCAACCUCGGGCCUGCAGUGGGUACGGGCAGACUAGAGUGCGGUAGGGGAGAUUGGAAUUCCUGGUGUAGCGGUGGAAUGCGCAGAUAUCAGGAGGAACACCGAUGGCGAAGGCAGCUCACUGGGACGGUACUGACGCUGAGGCGCGAAAGCGUGGGGAGCAAACAGG